GUCUCUCUAUAUUCAGAGACAUCAGUACAGAGUGCCAGGUCUCUCUAUAUUCAGAGACAUCAGUACAGAGUGCCAGGUCUCUCUCCAUUCAGAGACAUCAGUACAGAGUGCCAGGUCUCUCUCCAUUCAGAGACAUCAGUACAGAGUGCCAGGUCUCUCUCCAUUCAGAGACAUCAGUACAGAGUGCCAGGUCUCUCUCCAUUCAGAGACAUCAGUACAGAGUGCCAGGUCUCUCUCCAUUCAGAGACAUCAGUACAGAGUGCCAGGUCUCUCUCCAUUCAGAGACAUCAGUACAGAGUGCCAGGUCUCUCUCUAUUCAGAGACAUCAGUACAGAGUGCCAGGUCUCUCUCUAUUCAGAGACAUCAGUACAGAGUGCCAGGUCUCUCUCCAUUCAGAGACAUCAGUACAGAGUGCCAGGUCUCUCUCCAUUCAGAGACAUCAGUAUCAAGCCUGUGUCAGUCUGGACUUCAUCACAUCAUCUCGCAAGUCUCCAUGUGCUGGCUCCAUACAUGUUUCUGAGAACACAGUCACUGUUCUAUUAUCAAUGGCAGUUAGGAUAUGUCUUUACCAGCGUUUCAUUAAAUGGACACAGCAGUGUAGAUCAGCUCCCAGCCCUUCCUCAAAGAUACUGGACGGUCACACACACAAACAGAGCACUGAUCAGACAUGAUCAAUACUGGUUAUGAUUAUCCUGGUGGAACCAACCUGAUCAAUGGAUUUGCCUUUCUAUUUCUCUUCAGAUAUCAGAAAAUGUGAAGUGAAAUAGCAUGGUGAACACAGUGAUCAGGCUGGUUCCCACCAGGCUAGGUUAUAGCCUGGAGAUUAUAUGGUGAACACAGUGAUCAGGCUGGUUCCCACCAGGCUAGGUUAUAGCCUGGAGAUUAUAUGGUGAACACAGUGAUCAGGCUGGUUCCCACCAGGCUAGGUUAUAGCCUGGAGAUUAUAUGGUGAACACAGUGAUCAGGCUGGUUCCCACCAGGCUAGGUUAUAGCCUGGAGAUUAUAUGGUGAACACAGUGAUCAGGCUGGUUCCCACCAGGCUAGGUUAUAGCCUGGAGAUUAUAUGGUGAACACAGUGAUCAGGCUGGUUCCCACCAGGCUAGGUUAUAG